rnacentral:sRNA from 1 species
AUGCUUAUGUAUAUCCUUCUAAUUUCAAAGACGAUUCCAACCCCAUUGGUGAAUUUCAAAUGCCUUAAUCUCUUGAAUUCUUUCACCUAUUUGGCAUGUCAAUUGUCAUUAUUAGCUAUUAGAUGAAGUACUUGAAAUUAUGACGUUCAUUUUGAACUCAAAAUUGAAGAAACACAAACACAUCUGUAACUUCUACACAUGUUAUAUUAUGCAACAUAUACAUGCACAUAUAUUCUAACCCUUGCACUGUGUUGUUGCACGUACAAAAAAAGAAAAAAAAAAAAAAAAGAAGAAAAAAGACUAAUGUGCUGCUCACUAUAGUUUAAUUAAAUUGAUGAUACACAUUUGAGGACAUGAUUUUUAGGAUAGUAUCACUUUCAUAUGUUAGUUAACUGUUACAGUAAUUUUUUCCCUUAUGUGCUCAUUUCUUUUGUCAAAUAAAUUAUUGUGCUUUUUUAUUUUUUUUUAUUUUUUAUUUUUCGAGACUUGGGAGCAGCCUCUCCAUAAAAUGGGGGUAAGGCUAGCCGACAU